GGAGAGGUGCGAGAGUGGCCGAAUCGGAGCAGUCUGUAAGACUGCUGUCCUGGCAACGGGACCGUGGGUUCGAUCCCCACCCUCUCCGCCA
rnacentral:tRNA from 1 species